rnacentral:rRNA from 1 species
ACGGAAGGCAGCAGUGAGGAAUAUUGGUCAAUGGUCGGAAGACUGAACCAGCCAAGUAGCGUGAAGGAUGACUGCCCUAUGGGUUGUAAACUUCUUUUAUGCGGGAAUAAAAAGGAUUACGUGUAGUCUGUUGCAUGUACCGCAUGAAUAAGGAUCGGCUAAUUCCGUGCCAGCAGCCGCGGUAAUACGGAAGAUCCGAGCGUUAUCCGGAUUUAUUGGGUUUAAAGGGUGCGCAGGCGGUCUUUUAAGUCAGUGGUCAAAUCGUGGGGCUCAACCCCAUCCCGCCAUUGAUACUGGAGGACUUGAUUGCGGUCGAGGUUGGCGGAAUUCGUCGUGUAGCGGUGAAAUGCAUAGAUAUGACGAAGAACACCGAUUGCGUAGGCAGCUGACCAGGCCGUAAAUGACGCUCAUGCACGAAAGUGCGGGGAUCGAACAGGAUUAGAUACCCUGGUA